rnacentral:lncRNA from 1 species
GGAAGGUGUGCCCUGGGAUGCCCCAGCGGUGACCCAGGGGGAGGGUCCUCUCAAGAGAACCGUGUAUUCUUUCCCUGACUGUUCAGGGUUGAUAGCACAUGGCAUCAGUGGCUGGCUGUACUGUCAUUCUUAAUUCUUCAUAGACAAUGCACCCCCUUGGUGCCUGCGUGUGGGUGGGGCUGCCGUCUGUUGAUCUUGGCAGAGGUAUCCAGGGCUGGGACGCUGGCACAACAACAGGGCUAUGAAGGCUCCAGGCCCAGGUGGCUUCACAGGUGAGCCCGGCACACCCUUAAGGACACCAUCACAGCUGCACAGGUGGUGAGAAAGUGGAAUUCCCCACUUCGUGAGGAUCGCAGAAGAGUGAUGUAAAAAGCCCAUGAGCACAGAAAGGAAGCGCAGUCCAGUCUCACAAAGGAAGGCCACAUGAAAAUGUGGAUGUUCACCCUGUAAGCCAAGGGUGAAGAUAUGGGAUGUCGAGGAAUCUCUUAAAACAGAUCCCCACAGUCACAGGGCAGUAGCUGAAACCCAGACAGGCAGACCGAGCCAGGAGGGAGCAGGGGAGCUAGACAGGGCUCCCAACCACGGUGCUCAGCAACAGGCAGAGGCGACUCAACUAUUCACGCGAUGGUCUCUGAUCCUUCAAGAUCCUGCUGAGACAACCAGAUGGUUCUCCAAAGCCACAAGACUGCAUCCUGACUUCACUCUGAACCAUGCAUGUGUUACAACUACUGUAAAGAGUUGGCUGUAAAGUUCAAAACCACAGAUACACUAGAAGAAAACAGGCAUUGCUGUGGCCAGUUUGGGAAGGAAGAAGAUCUUCUAAAACAUAGCAGAAACACAGACGCUGUAAACCAAGGAUGAUAAAAUAGAAGUUUUGAAAAACAAAAAAGUGUUGAAAAACAAAAAUACCGUAAAUAAAUACAAGAUACAUGAGUGAGAAAUGAAACACAGUGUCUUCAACCCAAACCACAGGGAAAGCUCUAAUCUGCUCAUACACGGCAAGGUUCUGCAAAUCAACACAAUGAAGACCCAUGAAGUAAUGGGAAUUGGCAAAGAUAGCUCACAAGAGAAGAGACACAAAAACUCCUUACACACACGAGAAGAAACUCAGACACACUAAAGAGUGAAAUGCAAGCUGAAAUUAGAAUGGAAGACCAUUUUUAACCUGUCAGACUGCCAAAGACAAAUAUUAUGAAAUCAUGCCCUUGUCCAGGAUGUAGAGAAAGGCGUUCUACUCAGUUAGGGGAGGAGGGCCCUUUGGGAAUGGGCAUCUGAAUCCAUGAAGCACAGUCGGCAGCUCCAUCUCUAGGAGUUUCCCCUGCAAAUAUACGCACUAAAUAACAUUUGUGCAAAGUUAUUGACUGCAGCCUUACCUGCCCAGGGAAAAGCUGAGACAGCUCCUGUGUGCCCAGCGAGCUGGCCGAACACGUCACGGUACAUCAAGACGGUAUCACGCA